rnacentral:rRNA from 1 species
GGUUGCGAUCAUACCAGCACUAAUGCACCGGAUCCGAUCAGAACUCCGCAGUUAAGCGUGCUUGGGUGAGAGUAGUACUAGGAUGGGUGACCCCCUGGGAAGUCCUCGUGUUGCAACCC